AGAGUUUGAUCAUGGCUCAGAAUGAACGUUGGCGGCGUGGAUUAGGCAUGCAAGUCGUACGCUUUAUGUAGCAAUACAUGAAGAGUGGCGUAAGGGAGAGUAAUGCAUGGUUAGCUACCCUCGGGACUGGAAUAGCGGCGGGAAACUGCCGGUAAUGCCAGAUGACAUCUUCGGAUCAAACGUGUAAAUCGGCCCGAGGAGGUGACCAUGUCCUAUCAGCUAGUUGGCGGUGUAAUAGACCACCAAGGCUAAGACGGGUAUGGGGCGUGAGAGCGUGCCCCCACUCACUGGGACUGAGACACUGCCCAGACACCUACGGGUGGCUGCAGUCGAGAAUCUUCGGCAAUGGGCGCAAGCCUGACCGAGCGACGCCGCGUGCGGGAUGAAGGCCUUCGGGUUGUAAACCGCUGUCGUAGGGGAGGAAGGUCUGGUGUAUAGCCAGGCUUGACCGAUCCUAGGAGGAAGGGCCGGCUAAUCUCGUGCCAGCAGCCGCGGUAAUAC
rnacentral:rRNA from 1 species